rnacentral:rRNA from 1 species
GAUGAACGCUGGCGGCGUGCCUAAUACAUGCAAGUCGAGCGAACAGACGAGGAGCUUGCUCCUCUGACGUUAGCGGCGGACGGGUGAGUAACACGUGGAUAACCUACCUAUAAGACUGGGAUAACUUCGGGAAACCGGAGCUAAUACCGGAUAAUAUAUUGAACCGCAUGGUUCAAUAGUGAAAGACGGUUUUGCUGUCACUUAUAGAUGGAUCCGCGCCGCAUUAGCUAGUUGGUAAGGUAACGGCUUACCAAGGCAACGAUGCGUAGCCGACCUGAGAGGGCGAUCGGCCACACUGGAACUGAGACACGGUCCAGACUCCUACGGGAGGCAGCAGUAGGGAAUCUUCCGCAAUGGGCGAAAGCUUGACGGAGCAACGCCGCGUGAGUGAUGAAGGUCUUCGGAUCGUAAAACUCUGUUAUUAGGGAAGAACAAAUGUGUAAGUAACUAUGCACGUCUUGACGGUACCUAAUCAGAAAGCCACGGCUAACUACGUG